rnacentral:rRNA from 1 species
AACGAACGCUGGCGGCAUGCCUAACACAUGCAAGUCGAACGAGAUCUUCGGGUCUAGUGGCGCACGGGUGCGUAACGCGUGGGAAUCUGCCCUUUGGUUCGGAGUAACAGUUGGAAACGACUGCUAAUACCGGAUGAUGACGAAAGUCCAAAGAUUUAUCGCCAGAGGAUGAGCCCGCGUAGGAUUAGCUAGUUGGUGUGGUAAAGGCGCACCAAGGCGACAAUCCUUAGCGGGUCUGAGAGGAUGAUCAGCCACACUGGGACUGAGACACGGCCCAGACUCCUACGGGAGGCAGCAGUGGGGAAUAUUGGACAAUGGGCGAAGGCCUGAUCCAGCAAUGCCGCGUGAGUGAUGAAGGCCUUAGGGUUGUAAAGCUCUUUUACCCGGGAUGAUAAUGACAGUACCGGGAGAAUAAGCUCCGGCUAACUCCGUGCCAGCCGCCGCAGUAA